GACGAACGCUGGCGGCGUGCUUAACACAUGCAAGUCGAACGGAAAGGCCCUGCUUUUGUGGGAUGCUCGAGUGGCGAACGGGUGAGUAACACGUGAGUAACCUGCCCUUGACUUUGGGAUAACUUCAGGAAACUGGGGCUAAUACCGGAUAGGAGCUCCUGCUGCAUGGUGGGGGUUGGAAAGUUUCGGCGGUUGGGGAUGGACUCGCGGCUUAUCAGCUUGUUGGUGGGGUAGUGGCUUACCAAGGCUUUGACGGGUAGCCGGCCUGAGAGGGUGACCGGCCACAUUGGGACUGAGAUACGGCCCAGACUCCUACGGGAGGCAGCAGUGGGGAAUAUUGCACAAUGGGCGGAAGCCUGAUGCAACAACGCCGCGUGCGGGAUGACGGCCUUCGGGUUGUAAACCGCUUUCGCCUGUGACGAAGCGUGAGUGACGGUAAUGGGUAAAGAAGCACCGGCUAACUACGUG
rnacentral:rRNA from 1 species